CAGUUAUAUGUCGCUUUGUGACAGAUAUGUCCUAAGAAAUGCAUUGUGAGGCAAUUCCAUCAUUGCACAAACAUUAUGGAGUGUACUUACAUAAACCUUGAGUGUAGUCUACUGCACACCUGGGCAAUAUGGUAUAGCGUAUUGCUCCUAGGCUGCCAACCUGCACAGCAUGUUAUUGUACUGAACAAUGUAGGCAAUGUAACGCAAUGAUAUUUGUGUAUCUAAACAUACCUAAAUGCAGAAAUGCUGCAGUAGAUAUACAACAUAAAAGAUUGUUUUUAAGUCCACCUGUAGAAGGCACUUACCAUGAAUUGAACUUGCAGGCUUGGAAAUAUCUCUGGGUUCUGCUUGAAUUCUUGCCCUGGCUCUUGGUGAAGGAUCGGCCUGCUGGAUCUGAGUCAUCCACCUAUAAGAGGGACAACACCACACAUUGGUCGCUGCUCUCAAGCCCCUGGAAUACCACCCCACUUGGCUUCUCCUGAUACCACCCACAUAAACAAAAACUUUUUGGGAGUCCUCCAGAAUUUUUAAGAGUUAUCUAAACUAUUGCCUUUAAUGACCAGGAACUCCAAUUUGAGAAGUUACCCUACGUUAAGCCAACAGCAGCCUGGCUCCUUCAUCCUGUGCAGUAUGGGACAGAGCUGGGUCCUUGUUGUCAUCAGCCAGACAAGCACACAUUAAAGCCCACCUUAGCCAUUGGCAUUACAGCUUUAAAAGCAGCUCCAUCCUACCAUGCUGUCACUCUACUCAAUCACGUGAUCUUAACGACCAGCUCUACAUAUCCUCUCUCCAUGCCCCCACCACCAUCCCCCACCAACAAAUCCGGUAAUCUAUCUCUGUCAAUAGUCCUGCAGUGAAUUCCGAAUAAGUUUUUCUCUUCCCUGGCCUGCCGUUUACGUAGUACCCUGGAUGAAUCUAUACUUACUCCAUAGUAAGUAGUACCUUGGAUGAAUCUAUACUUGCAUCCAAUGGAAAUGAGAGUGAUGGUGCAGAGUUAUCCGAAGUAACUCCAGCUAUGUUGUGGAUCUUCUAAUCAUGGGCUCAUCUAAGCCUUCCCAGAUAUCACUCUAGUUUUUACAAUCUUUGUUUAUGACAAUUAGGGCUGUAACAUUGGCUGUAGACAUUUGUUGCAUCAAGGAACUCAGCUUCCACUGAAGUUCUGAAGUUAAUCAGUUUCUGAUCUUGUUCUGCAACUCUCUGCAAGAAGAAAAAUCACCAGGAAAUAGUGCAUCCUGAAAGGAGUCAAAGUUUCCUUAUCCAGCUGGAGCAGUGUGAUCUCGGACCAGAGUCAAUUCCUUGCCCAACAGACUUCACAUUGAGCCAUGAGAAGCAGCCUACUUACCCUUACCUGGACACUUCUCCAAAACCUGUGAAAUGGCCUCUGUCACUGCCUCAAAGCCUCAUCCUUGGUGGGCAACUCACCUGGAUCCUGAGACCAAAAUAUAGAGCUUAAUGAACUGCUCCUCUGCUGUAAACCUACUAUCUUU
rnacentral:lncRNA from 10 species